rnacentral:RNase_P_RNA from 1 species
GAGAGGAAGGACGGCUGCCGGGUCAUUUGACCUGAGGAAAGUCUCCCCACCUUCUAAACACACGAAUACCUGUAAAGGGUAUCUGGCGAGAGCCAGGGCAGUUGCUUUGCAACUCAUGUGCUUUGCACAUGCUGGCACAGAAACGAUACCGCAACAUGUCAAUGCGAUGAUGCUGAAAAGCUGAGUUCUCAUGAAAUGCGGAUGGAACGGCGAAUCCUCGUGGGUGCAAGUCGGAAGUAGGGGGCAAUGGUUGUUUAGACCAUUC